rnacentral:tRNA from 1 species
GGAGGGUGUAGCUCAGUGGUAGAGUGCGUGCUUAGCAUGUAUGAGGUCCUGGGUUCAAUCCCCAGUACCUCCA